GUGGCGAACGGGUGAGUAACACGUGAGCAACCUGCCCUGGACUCUGGGAUAAGCGCUGGAAACGGCGUCUAAUACUGGAUAUGAGCCCCUAUCGCAUGGUGGGGGUUGGAAAGAUUUUUUGGUCUGGGAUGGGCUCGCGGCCUAUCAGCUUGUUGGUGAGGUAAUGGCUCACCAAGGCGUCGACGGGUAGCCGGCCUGAGAGGGUGACCGGCCACACUGGGACUGAGACACGGCCCAGACUCCUACGGGAGGCAGCAGUGGGGAAUAUUGCACAAUGGGCGAAAGCCUGAUGCAGCAACGCCGCGUGAGGGAUGACGGCCUUCGGGUUGUAAACCUCUUUUAGCAGGGAAGAAGCGAAAGUGACGGUACCUGCAGAAAAAGCGCCGGCUAACUACGUGCCAGCAGCCGCGGUAAUACGUAGGGCGCAAGCGUUAUCCGGAAUUAUUGGGCGUAAAGAGCUCGUAGGCGGUUUGUCGCGUCUGCUGUGAAAUCCCGAGGCUCAACCUCGGGCCUGCAGUGGGUACGGGCAGACUAGAGUGCGGUAGGGGAGAUUGGAAUUCCUGGUGUAGCGGUGGAAUGCGCAGAUAUCAGGAGGAACACCGAUGGCGAAGGCAGAUCUCUGGGCCGUAACUGACGCUGAGGAGCGAAAGGGUGGGGAGCAAACAGGCUUAGAUACCCUGGUAGUCCACCCCGUAAACGUUGGGAACUAGUUGUGGGGACCAUUCCACGGUUUCCGUGACGCAGCUAACGCA
rnacentral:rRNA from 1 species